AACAAAAACCCUUCACCCGUGAGGUGUUAUUACUUGAAUCCUCCAGAAGGGGAGCUCUGAACCAAACACAUCAUUCGAAAUAGAUUAUUUUACUCAUGAAAAUCAGCUGAUAAAUAGAGGGAGAGAUGAAUGCCAAGCCGUCUGGAACAAUUUAUUUACUUUAUUGUUCAUUGAUCAGUUAGGCCUCAUUACUAACUUACUGAAAGACUUGUUUGAAAUAUACAAACAGGGAGAAAUACAACUCAUACAGCAAUUUUUUCUGACGAUGUUUACCUGGUUCUUUCCCCUAAUUUGUGUUGAAUGAUCAUUGUGAAACAUGUAUUAUUUUUGUUCUUCAUUUGCAUUUUAAUCAACAGAAUUGGCUUAUUAAUCAUCAUAGCUGUACCUGGAAACAAAGCAUCAGCCAGACAUAUAUCAUUUUAUCACAAGACAGAACACAUAUAACACCUUAUUAUUAGACAGAUAACAUUUCUUAAAAUAAUCCAAAUAUAGACCUGAAAAUGAAAUGUUAUAAAAGGACAGAAAGCCUCACGUUAUUAAAAAACAAAAAAGUUAGGCCUACAAAUAUCAUGAACCAUACUAGACUUACUGCAUACGCACAAUAACAGAAAAUGUUAAUCUUUAUUCUAAAAUUACAUUAGAAAUUCUAUGAAUGUUUUUUUUUAAAUAUGUAAGUAUUAAAACAGAUAUGGAUGAUUAUAAAUCUUGAUAACCCGUUAAAAUAAGAAAUUAUAAAUAAAAUAAAAAUAUAUAAUGGUAAUAUGGUUUAAGUAACACACUAUCAAAUAAUGCAAAAAAACGUGUAAAUUAUCUGGGAUUCCUGCCCCGCAGGUCAUGUAGCAUCUCAACAAACAUUUGCCUUCUCAUUGAAUUAUGCAAAUAGGACUGUGGGUCUUUCUCCUCUCGCUAAGCCUUAUAAGUUGUCAAUUGUAGAACAGGACAUCUUCCUCCAGUUCAGCUUCAACGCAAACUAUGUUCUCUGUAACUUAACUGCUGCUGGUCCUGGCUGCUGGCUCUGGUGUGAACUGUGAACAGCUUACUCAGCCAGAGUCUCUUACUGUCCGACCUGGUCAACCUCUGACCAUCCGCUGUCAGGUCCCUUAUUCUGUUAGUAGCUACAUCACACAUUUGAUCAGACAACCUGAUGGAAGAGGACUGGAAUGGAUUGGAGGGAUUAGUACUGGUUGGAAAGGAGCGAAAGACUCCCUUAGUAGUCAAUUCAGUCUUGCCGUUGACGGCUCCGGUAACACAGUAACUUUGCAAGGGUAAAACAUGCAGCCUGGAGACUCAGCUGUGUAUUACUGUGCCAGAGACACACAGCAUUACAAACUGUUGUAAAGGUUGAACAAAAACCCUUCACCGUGAGGUGUUAUUACUUGAGUCCUCCAGAGGGGGAGCUCUGAACCAAACACAUCAUUCAAAAUAGAUAAUUUAACUCAUGAACAUCAGCUGAUAAAUAGAGGGAGAGAUGAAUGCCGAGCUCGCUGGAACCUUUUAUUUAGUUUUUUAUUUAUUGAUCGGACAGACCCACUGACUAAGUUGCCGACCAAGCUAUUUGAAACAUAUAAACAGGGAAAAAUGUAUUUUGUUAACAACUCAUGCAGAUAUGUUUGCUUGUUUCAUUAUCUUAAUUUGUGUUAAAUGAUUAUUAUGCUA